AGCAAUGGCACUUCUAAAGUAAGCUGGCACCCAGCUCCGGGGGAUCCGUAAUACGCACAGAUCUUGUCUUCUUAUGGAUUUAACAACUGUGCUUUAAUCUGCUUAAGUUCCGGUACUCCUAUCUUCUUCUCUUCCUUUUGAUAGAACUAAACAAGCUCCCAGAGACAGUGCUGUCCCUGAGAUUGCAAAUUAAGGAGUUAGAAAUCAAAAGAAGAUAAAGAAGGCUUGUGACAUCGGUAAUAUUAUAAAUGGCCAUUCUGGACUGCUUUAAAGUCAGAGUACCUUUUGAUGCCCCAGCCCCCAUAAUGGGUUUGAGCCUCACAUCUGCUAAACAAGUGCUGUACCCCUGUGCUGACUGGCGUUCUGUCAACUUGACAGAAGGUAAGAGUCAUCAGAGAGGAAGCCUCAAUAAAUGUGCCUCCAUGAGAUCCCACUGCGGGCAAAACCGUGUUGCAUUUUUAAAUUAGCGAUUGAUGGAGGAGGGCCCAGCCCAUUGUGGGUGAUGACACGUCUGGUCUGGUAGUCCUAUAAGAAAGCUGGUAAUUCUAUAAGAAAGUAGGUUGAGGAGACAAUGACGAGAAAGCCAGUAAGCAGCACCCCUCCGUGGCCUUUUCAUCAGCUCCUGCCUCCAGGUCCCCAAGUUGCUUGAGUUCCUGUCCUCUUUUGAUGGUGAACUGUUAUAAGGAGCUCUGAAUGAAAUGAACCCUUUCCUCCAUGUGUUGCUUGUGGUUAUGUUUUAUCACAGAAAUAGUAACCAUGACUAAGACAAGUGCUAAACUACAGCUGCAGUUCAGAGAUUCUCAUGAAAAGUCCCAGGGUCCGUCCCUGUUGCCUGUGCAAAUGCGCUCAUCUCUUUAUUUCCACGCAGAAUCUGCCGCUCAGGAGAAGCCAACUCUGCCACCCUCUAGGGCAGCUGCCGGAGCAGACUAUUUUUAGUUCAAGCUAAAUUCACUCCAUUUGCCAGCCACAUUCAAUAUUGCAAUGUGGUCAAAUUCAAACUAGUCCUAGGGUCUCCAAGUGCUCACCACCUCCCUCUGAACUAUAUCAUGCGACUUACCCAAACUGAACUAGUCUCUCCAGGAAUGGUGCCAUUAGAUGAAUACAGCCAAGAAAUGAGCAAGGGAAAGCCGCCAGAGCCACGGGAUUGCUAAUGUUCUGGACUUUCGAUUAUAUGAGCCAAUAAACUUUCUCAAGCUUUGAGCACUCUGAAAUGAGUUUCCUUUUGAUUGCUCCUGGAGGCGCCCUCACUGGUACACAUGCUUUUUUGUUACUCUUUUAAAACCUGGACCUCCAAGAACACUGUGUAGAUUCGAUCAACGAUGGCUUCCUCGUUGUGUUGCCCUGCUGGGGAUGGAAGAUUUGUAGAUAAAGACUUGAUUGGGAAAGCUUUCAAUUCCGCCGAAGCUUCAUGUCUCCAGUGCAUAGAAAUUUCCUGAUGAUGUGAUAUGGGAAUACAGGUAAAACUGCAGCUUCCCAGGGCCACUAAAACGUGCACAAUAGAACCUUCUCCUCGUGAAAGGAAAGCUCAAUAGUGAAAUCUAAUGGGAAUAAAUACAGCUAACAGCAGGCCUCGGCAAAGAAGGGUGGAGGAUAGAGAGUUACUAUAAUUUAUAGACAAGAGGGGGGGGUAUAUGAAGAACACGUUUGUGUCUUUCCAUUUUACUAAGUUAGCCAUGAAAACUAAAAUAUACGCUCGCUUGAAGCCCAAAUGAGUGAUAUCUUCAUUUGCUUUGUAAACAGAACCACAGUCUUCAAAAUGAAGAAAAUCAUUUGAGGGAAAUGGAAUUUUGUGUGCUGUCUUACUUUUCUUUGGCUACUCUAGCAAAAGUUGGUAGUCUGGUCAUUUAUAAGCAAGAGAAAUGAAUUACUCACAGUCCUGGAAGUUGGCCAGGCUAACACACUUGGUGCCUAGAGAGGAGACAUUGGCUGCCUCGCAGAUGCACCCUGUGGCUUUGUUUCCCACGGUGGAAGAGGCAAACAAGAUCCCUUGGGCCUGCCUUCUUGUGGCACUAAUCUUACUCAUGAGGCUUCUACCCUACGACCCCACCAAAUAUUCUGUUUCUCAACACCAAGUGGGAUUAGGGAUUCCAUCUCAACAUAGGAGUUCUGGGAGAACAAGAAUCCUUAUCCUACAGCAAUGAUGCCCCACACUCGCUCACUAAGAGCUAAGAAAGCCAUGCUACCAAACUCUGUGCCAUCUGGAUUAGAUAGCUUUCUUUCCAUUUCAUAACUGGAUGAUUUUUAGAUAGACAUGUGUGGCUGACAGAAAAUGCUCUGCUGGUCUCUGGUCCCCUAAUCAGGAUGAUUUGGAAAAGGAGAAAUAGCAUGCAACCAGGGUUGAGGCAGAAGAGCAAAGAAACUCAAACUGUAGCUCCCGAUCUUCCAAGUAUUAUUUUAGAACAAGGUACAUAAUUUCUCUUCAAAUUUAUGUAGGAUACAAGAUUUUUAAAGGUAAAUGGAAUAUAAUAAAAAUUAUUUUUAAAAUAAAGUAUACCUCUAUUUUAGUUUGUUG
rnacentral:lncRNA from 1 species